CAAAGGUAGAGUGUCUGUUGGCUUCAAGUACUGCAUGCACUCAUGGGCAGUAGCUGCAAAGUCUCAGCUGAUGGAACCCAGAGGUGCAUGAGCUACCUGGAAGUGUUAAGGAAUUGGUGCAGACAAUUUAGAGCAGCUUCUAGGGCCUCUCUGUACUGCACAGACUGCAAGUCUUGACUCUGUGGCCACACGGUGGGCAUGGGUCACCUAAGCAAACAGAAGCCUUUGGCUGUGGGCUUCCUUAGAGAUGGUCUUUGUAAGCAGGGAUGUGCUGAGCAGGAAACUGGAAUGGAGGAGCAAGGAAUCGACUGGUUAUGAAAUGUCAGAGCCUCUGUAAGUGAAAAAUGACCCUACAACCACAAGCCCGGUGCAUAGAACCUGGUGCACACAAGAGACCCUGCAAUAACAAACCAGUGUGCAGGCAGCCUGCUGCUGCUGAGUGCUGACAUGGUUUCGGAUGUAGUGAUGCUCCUGCUGCUGUGUCCUUUCUGAGGGCAUCAACGUCAGCAGUCCUCUUAGCUGUGAAACCAGGAGGGUGACUCAUGAAGGGACGCAAGCCGUGUCCGUACCUCAAUGGUCCGUCAGGUUUCUGACCUGCGUCAGCAAAAUCAGGGGUGAAGAGGGAAAUGAGAAUGACAACCCAGCCUGGAUAUGAGGGACAGAAGGCAAAUGGAAAAUAAAAGUCCCUCUGAGACUGUGUCCCCGCUCCUUACCAGAUGCUGCAGGGAGACCCAGCUCUGCAGACCUUCAGGCAUGGACUGUUCCUGUCAUUUGUAGACGCUGGAAACGUUGACUCUUGACAUGCUACCCAAUGGGUUCUAACUUUUGCCUCUGCCAAUAGCCUGGAAGUUUCUUCUUUGUCUCCCUCUGCAGAAACUUUUGUGGGACUGUUUCUUGUGAGCUGGCACCUCUCUCCUCCUAGGAGUGCCAUGAGUAUUGUCUGCUGGUGCAAGAAAUUCUCCCUAGAGGGGACACAAGCAGACUAGAAGUGCCUAACUGUUCUGAAGCUGAGAAAGCAGAUGAGAAGGCUGGUAAGAACAAACUUAAGAUGCUGUCAACCCUGUUGCAAUGAUUAAUGGCUCUUGUUAUCUGAAGAUACUUAGAAACUGACAUUUUCUGAAGAAAUGAGAGUGAGGUCUUUGGAAUAAACUAGGAAAAGCU